UACGGAGGGUGCGAGCGUUGUCCGGAAUCACUGGGCGUAAAGGGCGCGUAGGCGGCUUCUUAAGCGGGUGGUGAAAGCUCGGGGCUCAACCUCGAGUCGGCCAUGCGAACUGGGAAGCUCGAGCACUGUAGAGGCAGGCGGAAUUCCGGGUGUAGCGGUGAAAUGCGUAGAUAUCGGAAGGAACAUCAGUGGCGAAAGCGACUUCCUGGACCAGUACCGACGUUCAGGCACGAAAGCGUGGGGAGCAAACAGG
rnacentral:rRNA from 1 species